UCUCUCCCUCCUAUUAAAAAAAGGCAAAGAUAAAAAUCAAACCUAGAGCUCAUUCCCUGUCAAACGAACAGAGCAAGAAUCUCAUCCCCAUCUCUCUCACAUCUCUCAAAGUUUCGUCUUCUUCAUCUCACUCAUCUUCUUCUACCAUGUCAAAUGAGAAGAAAAAUCCUUACCAGUACGACCCUUUCGACUACAACCACCAUGAGAUCAACAAGUCAAGUUUUCCAUUCUUCAACUAUGGUACUUCCUCCAUAUACCAAAAUCCCCCACAUGACCCACAAACCCUAAAUGGGUUUGGAUCUGAUCAUCCUAAUUCGUUCAUGAGCUUUACCGACUGCCUACACGGAUCAUUGGACUACAACACCCUCUCGAAAGCCUUCGACAUGUCGUGUUCCUCAUCGGAAGUCAUUUCUCGGCCGUUAGAUCAUGACAACAACUCAAACAAACAGCAGGCUGCGGCAGCAGGUGUAGGAGAUCACUCAGUGGGGACUAAUAGUACCACUGAAAACCCUUCCACACCAAAUUAUUCCUCAAUAUCUUCUUCCCCUAAUGAAGCUGCUGGUGCUGGUGCUGUUGCUGUUGCUGUUGAUCAUCAAGUUUUAGAUGAAGAUUCAGAUCAUAAGAGCAAGAAAGAUAAACAGCCGAAAUUACGGUCUGAUGGAGAUGAUGAAGACAAGUCAAAGAAAGGGAGCAAAGCAAAAAAGAAAGAGAAACGGAAGAGGGAACCACGGUUUGCGUUUCUGACUAAGAGUGAAGUGGAUCACCUUGAAGAUGGAUACAGAUGGAGGAAGUACGGACAGAAGGCAGUCAAGAACAGCCCUUAUCCUAGAAGUUAUUACAGAUGCACCACACAGAAGUGCAUCGUAAAGAAGCGUGUUGAGAGAUCAUUUCAAGAUUCAUCAACCGUGAUCACAACAUACGAAGGUCAGCACAACCACCAGUGUCCGGCAACACUCCGUGGAAAUCUCAAUCUCAACGCUGUCGGAAUGCUGUCACCUAAUUCACUUUUGGCAUCGGCAUCUUUGAGCGGAUCAGCAAGAUUUUCACAUGAAUUCUUAGCUCAAUUUCUCCCAAUGGACAACCAGUUGCAAUUGCAAAGUCAUCAACAUGAUCAUCCACCAAGUUCAACGUUAUACUCAACCCUCAUGAGUCCUCAUCGUCAUCAUCAUAAUCAGCAGCAGCAACAGCUACCUGCUUCUGACUAUGGUUUGUUGCAAGAUUUAGUUCCCUCAUUUAGUCACAAAAAAGAGCCAUGAAUAUUUGUGAGUACUUUUCGAGUCGAUUGGCGGGCAACUAUAUGCACCAAAACUAUGAUAUUUCCAGUACUAUUUGCUUAGAUGGGCUGAGAAACAGUAUGGCUUUCAAGGAAUCGCAUUCAGUGAGUACUAGUAUAUAUAAUUCUGAGUACUGCAGUGCAUAUAUAUUGUUCCUGUGGUCUUAAAGUUAAUCUACCAUAAAGCUUCUCUAAUUGUUAGUGAAUGAAGGUGCUUCUUUGAAGGAAUGGCAACCUGUCUGGCUACUCUAGAGGGCUAACAGUACGUGAGAAGAUGGGCUUAACUGCAGUGCAUAUACGCAUGUAUGCAAAUAUGUAUGUAUAGCUACCAUUGGAAAACGAGGGGUUAACUGUAAGAAAUGGGGUUGAUUAACUUGAUUGGAGAGCAUGGUUAGACCUACAUUUAUAAGAGGAUUAAGGUUUUCUGUGCA